rnacentral:rRNA from 1 species
AUGCCAUCGAGCGAGCCAGCCCCUUGCGUGGGCCUAAACAAAGGAGGCCUUUUUGCCGAGGCCUGUAUUACCGGCCUGAUCAGCGCCUGGUCGAGGCCCGCUCCUCUUGUCUCAAAAAAGGAAAUCCAAGUGGUGCUCUGCUUCCUCUGCCUCGCCAUGUCGUUCCCCGGCGCGGUGCUGGCGUCGCCGGUGACGGUGAGGAAGCAAUGGCAGGCCGGGUCAACCAGGAAUCGGACCCUCUCAACUGGUUCACAACCCCAUGCAAUUGCUUUUCUGUUGUUGGCGACCGACAGAUGGGCUUUGGUGGCAGCAACUACGCCCUACGAUGGACCAAAGUCAAAAGGCCGAGAAAGGUAUGAGUUGAAUUGCUGCUCUGCCCCUCUAUUUCUAUCCUCCUCGCCCUCCCGUCCCCUCAUCGCUGAGCGAGGUGAACUAAACGAGCUGCUCGUCCCUCGCACCUGCGGUGCCGAGUGUGGACGGUGCAGGAAGACUGAGCCAGCCUCCUGCAUCCACGAUCUUCCGGAUGGCUUCUACCCCAAGAUCAAAGCACUGUCAGCUACGGUAGGAGAAUUCAUCUUUGUUGAACCAAAAUCCCAGGACUUCAAAGGGAAUUUCGCCAAGGUUCGAGUAAGGAUUGAUGUGACAAAACCUCUCAAGAAUGCAGUCUCACUUGUGAUCAAGAAGAAAGACGUCCUCCAGAGAUGUGGCGAUGGGGUUCACCCACCGAGGGCAUUGGUUUUCAAGGAUCUCAGAGCAUCAUGGUUCAGAGGACCAGGAAGAGGCCUAGGGGAGGGAAGAGGACAAGAUGAUAGUAAUGUCGGGAGAGGAGGCCGUUCUGGUAGAGGACAUGGUAGGGGCUCUUCUCAGGCGAAUUCUGUUGAAGAUGACAACGAGGAAGACACAGCCAACCCUGCUUCUGAUGUGUCCAUGAGUGAUGCAGACAAUAAUAGGAAGAGAGGGGUUAUUGCAAGUGACCCCAAUUCAUCCUUGACAUUGGCGCAUGCUAGCAGUAAUGCAGACAACCCGUUGUUGCUUCCUCCCCCACAGAUACUGCCAAGCCCUUCUUCAGUACAAGAGCCGAAGAGAACCAAGCAAAACUCGAGCACAACUGACAAGAACAGUGGGAAGAACACAGUGGUGACCAAAAAUCUUGAUGCGCGUUUGGCGGGCUCCCAUGGGGGAAGAGAGGCGUGGUUAGAUGGAGAAGCUGGCCCAUCACACACAAGGGCAGAAGAGGGGACGUGGAAGUAUCUAUGGAAAACAACAGUCCCUGUAACUCUUUGGUCCAUUUGGCAUGCCCAAAGGAAAGCUAUCUAUGAAGCAAUAUUUCAGAGCCCUCAAGCAACCCACUGCUUCAUCGAAUGGUACAUGCAAGACCUGGCGAUCAUAAACAAGCCAGUGCAGAACCAAAACAAGAACGGAUCAGCGCCACAGCCAGGCCAUGCAAAACCAAAAAAGCCACCUCUUGGUAAUCACAAGAUCCAUGUUGAUGGGGGCGUCCGUGUAAGGAGGGGUGGUUCAGCGGGAGUGUUCGAUCCCCCCACACUGGAGGCAAUAGCAUGUCGAGAAGCCCUGGCCUUGGCGGAGGACCUCGGUAUUCAUCAGUUCACCGUGGCAUCGGAUUGUCGACAGGUCGUGCUGGACAUCAAUAGAAGCACACGAGGUGUCUACGGUGCAAUCAUCAACAUCAAAGCCUCUACUUUUUCUUGUAACUUUUUUUGA